rnacentral:rRNA from 1 species
ACUCACUAUUAGAACGUGGCGCACGAGGUUAAGUCCCCUCCACUUAGUAACAGUACAACUACUAUCUAGGUAGAUAGGUUCCUAGGAAAACCGUACAUGAGUAUAUGGUUCUCGGAUACGCUAAAGAGACGUGUUUUUGGUUAGUUAGACUGGUUUAAUUAUACUACUUACGACGGUUAACAAACUUGGAGACGUCUUUUAAGAAAAAACGGGACUGGGCGAGCUAGGUUUGUAAAAUGACGUUAGGAAAGUAGUGGUUUAACUGGGAACUUUUGUCUGGGUUUAGGAGGAAGGGGCUCGAACAGACGCUUAACGAGCCAACGACGAAAAUCGACGACUUUACACUUGGAGUAACCACAAGGAACAUCGAGGGGUUUGAGAAGGAGGUAGAGGUAGAGUAUAACAACAACACAAGAAGCAAAUGCAUAUUUUAUCCACGGCUCCUUGUUCUACGAUUCGUUUUACUUCGGUUGAUAUCCUGGAUUUUAACGAUGUUGAGAAGAAUGUCUCCUCCUAAAGUGAAAGUACGAACAACAGGGUUAUCCACGUCCGUCUCGUGAGCCCGGCAUCCAUAAUGGAACCCGCCCCCGCGUCCGACUCGUGAACCCCAGUAUCCACAAUGGAACCGGCCCCCACGUCCGUUCCCGGAUCGUCGACAUCCGCUAUAACCCGCUAUCGGGCACCAUGGUGGCUAUUGCCAAGCUAACUAGCACCAUGGUGGCCGUUACCUCGGUACCUUACAUAAGCGGCACUACCAUCGUUAUCCCUUCUCCUCCUCCUCCUCCUCUCCGGUCUCCACCUCUCGGCUGCUCCAUGAGUGACGACG